rnacentral:rRNA from 1 species
AGUGAACGCUGGCGGUAGGCCUAACACAUGCAAGUCGAACGGCAGCACAGUAAGAGCUUGCUCUUACGGGUGGCGAGUGGCGUACGGGUGAGGAAUACAUCGGAAUCUACUUUUUCGUGGGGGAUAACGUAGGGAAGCUUACGCUAAUACCGCAUACGACCUACGGGUGAAAGCAGGGGAUCUUCGGACCUUGCGCGAUUGAAUGAGCCGAUGUCGGAUUAGCUAGUUGGCGGGGUAAAGGCCCACCAAGGCGACGAUCCGUAGCCGGUCUGAGAGGAUGAUCAGCCACACUGGAACUGAGACACGGUCCAGACUCCUACGGGAGGCAGCAGUGGGGAAUAUUGGACAAUGGGCGCAAGCCUGAUCCAGCCAUACCGCGUGGGUGAAGAAGGCCUUCGGGUUGUAAAGCCCUUUUGUUGGGAAAGAAAAGCAGCAGGUUAAUACCCCGCUGUUCUGACGGUACCCAAAGAAUAAGCACCGGCUAACUUCGUG